GCGUGGAAGCUCAGUUGGUAAAGCACUCGUCUAGCAUACUAGAGUCGUGGGUACGAUUCCCACCUGAAGACGUG
rnacentral:tRNA from 1 species